rnacentral:rRNA from 1 species
CAGAGGGUGCAAGCGUUAAUCGGAAUUACUGGGCGUAAAGCGCGCGUAGGUGGUUUGUUAAGUUGGAUGUGAAAUCCCCGGGCGUCAACCUGGGAACGUGCAUUCAAAACUAGACUGACUAGAGUAUGGUAGGGGGUGGUGGAAUUUCCUGUGUAGCGGUGAAAUGCGUAGAUAUAGGAAGGAACACCAGUGGCGAAGGCGGCCACCUGGACUAAUACUGACACUGAGGUGCGAAAGCGUGGGGAGCAAACAGGAUU